GUAGUCCACGCCCUAAACGAUGUCGACUGGUUGUUGGGGGUUUGACACUCUCAGUAACGAAGCUAACGCGUGAAGUCGACCGCCUGGGGAGUACGGCCGCAAGGUUAAAACUCAAAGGAAUUGACGGGGACCCGCACAAGCGGUGGAUUAUGUGGAUUAAUUCGAUGCAACGCGAAAAACCUUACCUACCCUUGACAUGUCCUGGAGGCUGGGGAAACCCGGCUGUGCCCGAAAGGGAACGGGAACACAGGUGCUGCAUGGCUGUCGUCAGCUCGUGUCGUGAGAUGUUGGGUUAAGUCCCGCAACGAGCGCAACCCUUGCCAUUAGUUGCUACCGAAAGGAGCACUCUAAUGGGACUGCCGGUGACAAACCGGA
rnacentral:rRNA from 1 species